GACGAACGCUGGCGGCGUGCUUAACACAUGCAAGUCGAACGGAAAGGCCCUGCUUUUGUGGGGUGCUCGAGUGGCGAACGGGUGAGUAACACGUGAGUAACCUGCCCUUGACUUUGGGAUAACUUCAGGAGACUGGGGCUAAUACCGGAUAGGGGCUCCUGCUGCAUGGUGGGGGUUGGAAAGUUUCGGCGGUUGGGGAUGGACUCGCGGCUUAUCAGCUUGUUGGUGGGGUAGUGGCUUACCAAGGCUUUGACGGGUAGCCGGCCUGAGAGGGUGACCGGCCACAUUGGGACUGAGAUACGGCCCAGACUCAUACGGGAGGCAGCAGUGGGGAAUAUUGCACAAUGGGCGGAAGCAUGAUGCAGCAACGCCGCGUGCGGGAUGACGGCCUUCGGGUUGUAAACCGCUUUCGCCUGUGACGAAGCGUGAGUGACGGUAAUGGGUAAAGAAGCACCGGCUAACUACGU
rnacentral:rRNA from 1 species